CCUUCGAUAGCUCAGUUGGUAGAGCGGAGGACUGUAAAUCCUUAUGUCGCUGGUUCAAAUCCGGCUCGAAGGA
rnacentral:tRNA from 1 species